AUACGGAGGGGGCAAGCGUUAUUCGGAAUUAUUGGGCGUAAAGGGCUCGUAGGCGGCCUAGCAAGUCAGUGGUGAAAUCCCUCGGCGCAACCGAGGAACUGCCUCUGAAACUGCAAGGCUAGAGGCCGGGAGAGGGUGGUGGAAUUCCCAGUGUAGCGGUGAAAUGCGUAGAUAUUGGGAGGAACACCAGUGGCGAAGGCGGCCACCUGGACCGGUUCUGACGCUGAGGAGCGAAAGCGUGGGGAGCAAACAGGAUUAGAAACCCUAGUAGUCC
rnacentral:rRNA from 1 species